UGGGGAAUCUUGCACAAUGGAGGAAACUCUGAUGCAGCGAUGCCGCGUGAGUGAAGAAGGCCUUUGGGUUGUAAAGCUCUUUCGUCGGGGAAGAAAAUGACUGUACCCGAAUAAGAAGGUCCGGCUAACUUCGUGCCAGCAGCCGCGGUAAUACGAAGGGACCUAGCGUAGUUCGGAAUUACUGGGCUUAAAGAGUUCGUAGGUGGUUGAAAAAGUUGGUGGUGAAAUCCCAGAGCUUAACUCUGGAACUGCCAUCAAAACUUUUCAGCUAGAGUAUGAUAGAGGAAAGCAGAAUUUCUAGUGUAGAGGUGAAAUUCGUAGAUAUUAGAAAGAAUACCAAUUGCGAAGGCAGCUUUCUGGAUCAUUACUGACACUGAGGAACGAAAGCAUGGGUAGCGAAGAGG
rnacentral:rRNA from 1 species